GCCUUCGUGGUAUAGUGGUCAGCAUGCUCGGUGCAUAUUCAAGAGGUCCAUGGUUCGAUUCCUGGUGAAGGCA
rfam:Stegodyphus mimosarum contig168537, whole genome shotgun sequence.